rnacentral:rRNA from 1 species
UACGUAGGUGGCGAGCGUUGUCCGGAAUCAUUGGGCGUAAAGAGCGCGUAGGCGGCCCGGUAAGUCCGCUGUGAAAGUCAAAGGCUCAACCUUUGAAUGUCAGCGGAUACUGCCGGGCUAGAGUCCGGAAGAGGCGAGUGGAACUCCUGGUGUAGCGGUGAAAUGCGUAGAUAUCAAGAGGAACACCUGCGGCGAAGGCGGGUUGCUGGGCCGACACUGACGCUGAGGCGCGAAAGCCAGGGGAGCGAACGGG